AUUGAUUUUAUGCUUGCAUAAAUGAUUUUUGGAUUCGGAGCGAGUGGCGAACUGGUGAGUAACACGUGGGUAACCUGCCCCGAAGCGGGGGAUAACAUUUGGAAACAAGUGCUAAUACCGCAUAAUUAGUUGGAACCGCAUGGUUCCAACUUGAAAGAUGGCUCUGCUGUCACUUCGGGAUGGACCCGCGCCGUAUUAGUUAGUUGGUGAGAUAAAAGCCCACCAAGACGAUGAUACGUAGCCGACCUGAGAGGGUAAUCGGCCACAUUGGGACUGAGACACGGCCCAGACUCCUACGGGAGGCAGCAGUAGGGAAUCUUCCACAAUGGACGAAAGUCUGAUGGAGCAACGCCGCGUGAGUGAUGAAGGUUUUCGGAUCGUAAAACUCUGUUGUUAGAGAAGAACAAGUGUUAGAGUAACUGUUAACACUUUGACGGUAUUUAACCAGAAAGCCACGGCUAACUACGUGCCAGCAGCCGCGGUAAUACGUAGGUGGCAAGCGUUGUCCGGAUUUAUUGGGCGUAAAGCGAGCGCAGGCGGUUUUGUAAGUCUGCUGUGAAAGCCCUCAGCUCAACUGAGGAAGUGCAGUGGAAACUACAAAACUUGAGUACAGAAGAGGAAAGUGGAACUCCAUGUGUAGCGGUGAAAUGCGUAGAUAUAUGGAAGAACACCAGUGGCGAAGGCGGCUUUCUGGUCUGUUACUGACGCUGAGGCUCGAAAGCAUGGGUAGCGAACAGGAUUAGAUACCCUGGUAGUCCAUGCCGUAAACGAUGAAUACUAGGUGUUGGAGGGUUUCCGCCCUUCAGUGCCGCAGCUAACGCAUUAAGUAUUCCGCCUGGGGAGUACGACCGCAAGGUUGAAACUCAAAGGAAUUGACGGGGGCCCGCACAAGUGGUGGAGCAUGUGGUUUAAUUCGAUGCUACGCGAAGAACCUUACCAGCUCUUGACAUCUUCUGCCAACCCAAGAGAUUGGGCGUUCCCUUCGGGGACAGAAUGACAGGUGGUGCAUGGUUGUCGUCAGCUCGUGUCGUGAGAUGUUGGGUUAAGUCCCGCAACGAGCGCAACCCUUAUUAUUAGUUGCCAGCAUUUAGUUGGGCACUCUAGUGAGACCGCCGGUGAUAAA
rnacentral:rRNA from 1 species